GGAGAGGUGACCGAGUGGCCGAAGGUGGCGCCCUGCUAAGGCGUUGUACCCCAAAAGGGUACCGUGGGUUCAAAUCCCACCCUCUCCGCCA
rnacentral:tRNA from 2 species